AAAUAUAGAACUACAAGUUACCUCAGAACAUAACAGAUUGUACAUAAGCAGUAUAAAACACAACUACAGUUACUUCAGAACAUAACAGAUUGUACAUAAGCAGUAUAAAACAAACAAAGUUCUACAAAUUACUUCAGAACAGAACAAAUUGUACACAAGCAAUAUAAAACACACAACUACAAGUUACUUCAGAACAUAACAGAUUGUACACCAGCAGUAUAAAACACACAACUACAAGUUACUUCAGAACAGAACAAAUUGUACAUAAGAAAUAUAAAACACACAACCACAAAUUACUUCAGAACAGAACAAAUUGUACACCAGCAGUAUAAAACACACAACUACAAUUUACUUCAGAACAUAACAAAUUGUACACCAGCAGUAUAAAACACACAACUACAAGUUACUUCAGAACAGAACAAAUUGUACAUAAGACAUAUAAAACACACAACAACAGAUUACUUCAGAACAUAACAGAUUGUACACCAGCAGUAUAAAACACACAACUACAAGUUACUUCAGAACAGAACAAAUUGUACAUAAGAAAUAUGAAGCACACAACAACAGAUUACUUCAGAACAUAACAAAUUGUACACCAGCAGCUUAAAACACACAACUACAAGUUACUUCAGAACAUAACAAAUUGUACAUAAGCAGUAAAAAAACACACAACUACAAGUUACUUCAGAACAGAACAAAUUGUACAUAAGAAAUAUAAAACACACAACCACAAGUUACUUCAGAACAUAACAAAUUGUACACCAACAGUAUAAAACACACAACUACAAAUUACUUUAGAACAUAACAGAUUGUACACCAGCAGUAUAAAACACACAACUACAAGUUACUUCAGAACAUAACAAAUUGUACAUAAGCAGUAAAAAACACACAACUACAAAUUACCUCAGAACAUAACAGAUUGUACACCAGCAGUAAAAACAUACAACUGCAAGUUUCUACAGAAUAUAACAGAUUGUACAUCUGCAGUAUAAAACAC
rnacentral:lncRNA from 1 species